rnacentral:rRNA from 1 species
CGGGACUGGUGAGUAACGCGUGAGGAACCUGCCUUCCAGAGGGGGAUAACACUUGGAAACAGGUGCUAAUACCGCAUAACCAUAGUUACCGCAUGGUAACUAUGUAAAAGGUGGCUAUGCUACCGCUUUUGGAUGGGCCCGCGGCGCAUUAGCUAGUUGGUGGGGUAAAGGCUUACCAAGGCAAUGAUGCGUAGCCGAACUGAGAGGUUGAUCGGCCACAUUGGGACUGAGACACGGCCCAAACUCCUACGGAAGGCAGCAG